GGAACGGGGAACGCGUGAGAAUCUGCCGAAGGGACGGGGAUAACCACGGGAAACGGUGGCUAAUACCGGAUGAGCCGAAAAGGUAAAAGAUUUAUCGCCCUUCGAGGAGCUCGCGUCCGAUUAGCUAGUUGGUGAGGUAAAAGCUCACCAAGGCAGCGAUCGGUAGCUGGUCUGAGAGGAUGAGGCAGCCACACUGGGACUGAGACACGGCCCAGACUCCUACGGGAGGCAGCAGUGGGGAAUUUUCCGCAAUGGGCGCAAGCCUGACGGAGCAAUACCGCGUGAGGGAGGAAGGCUCUUGGGUUGUAAACCUCUUUUCUCAGGGAAGAAGUUCUGACGGUACCUGAGGAAUAAGCAUCGGCUAACUCCGUGCCAGCAGCCGCGGUAAUACGGAGGAUGCAAGCGUUAUCCGGAAUUAUCUGGGCGUAAAGCGUCCGCAGGUGGCAUUUCCAGUCUUGCUGUCAAAGACCAAGGCUCAACCUUGGGCAGGCAGUGGAAACUGAAAAGCUAGAGUGCGGUAGGGGUAGGGGGAAUUCCCAGUGUAGCGGUGAAAUGCGUAGAGAAU
rnacentral:rRNA from 1 species